rnacentral:rRNA from 1 species
AACUUUCAACAACGGAUCUCUUGGUUCUGGCAACGAUGAAGAACGCAGCGAAAUGCGAUAAGUAAUGUGAAUUGCAGAAUUCAGUGAAUCAUCGAAUCAUUGAACGCACAUUGCGCCCCCUGGUAUUCCGGGGGGCACACCUGUUCGAGCGCCAUUUCUACCCUGGA